rnacentral:rRNA from 1 species
UACGGUGGGGGCAAGCGUUGUUCGGAAUUACUGGGCGUAAAGGGCCAGUAGGCGGCCAACUAAGUCGGAUGUGAAAUCCCCAGGCUCAACUUGGGAACUGCAUCCGAUACUGGAUGGCUUGAAUUCGGGAGAGGGAUGCAGAAUUCCAGGUGUAGCGGUGAAAUGCGUAGAUAUCUGGAGGAAUACCGGUGGCGAAGGCGGCAUCCUGGACCGACAUUGACGCUGAACGGCGAAAGCUAGGGGAGCAAACGGG